CCCUCAUCUACGCAAGACUACCCGCUGAACUUAAGCAUAUCAAUAAGCGGAGGAAAAGAAACCAACAGGGAUUGCCCCAGUAACGGCGAGUGAAGCGGCAAAAGCUCAAAUUUGAAAUCCUUCGGGAGUUGUAAUUUGAAGAUGAUACCUUUGGACAAGUGUAAGUUCGUUGGAAAACGACGCCGAAGAGGGUGACAGCCCCGUCGCAGUAUGUCCAAACACAGGUAUACAUCAACGAGUCGAGUUGUUUGGGAAUGCAGCUCCAAGUGGGUGGUAAACUCCAUCUAAAGCUAAAUAUUGGCGAGAGACCGAUAGCGAACAAGUACAGUGAUGGAAAGAUGAAAAGCACUUUGAAAAGAGAGUGAAAAAGUACGUGAAAUUGUUGGAAGGGAAGGGCUUGGAAGGAGAGUCAGCAUCGGUUGCACAGGGUAGAAAAGUGGGAGAACAUGUAGCGCUUGCGUAUUAUAGUUCUUGCAGAUAUACCCCCGCGCGACCGAGGACCGCUUUACAGGAUGCUGACACAAUCCUUCUAAGCCGCCCGUCUUGA
rnacentral:rRNA from 1 species